AUUGAACGCUGGCGGCAUGCUUUACACAUGCAAGUCGAACGGCAGCACGGGGGCAACCCUGGUGGCGAGUGGCGAACGGGUGAGUAAUAUAUCGGAACGUACCCGGAAAUGGGGGAUAACGUAGCGAAAGUUACGCUAAUACCGCAUAUGCCCCGAGGGGGAAAGUGGGGGAUCCGCAAGGACCUCACGUUUUCGGAGCGGCCGAUAUCAGAUUAGCUAGUUGGUGGGGUAAAGGCCCACCAAGGCGACGAUCUGUAGCUGGUCUGAGAGGACGACCAGCCACACUGGAACUGAGACACGGUCCAGACUCCUACGGGAGGCAGCAGUGGGGAAUUUUGGACAAUGGGGGCAACCCUGAUCCAGCCAUGCCGCGUGAGUGAAGAAGGCCUUCGGGUUGUAAAGCUCUUUCAGCCGGAAAGAAAACGCACGGGUUAAUAACCUGUGUGGAUGACGGUACCGGAAGAAGAAGCACCGGCUAACUACGUGCCAGCAGCCGCGGUAAUACGUAGGGUGCGAGCGUUAAUCGGAAUUACUGGGCGUAAAGCGUGCGCAGGCGGUUUUGUAAGACAGAUGUGAAAUCCCCGGGCUUAACUUGGGAACUGCAUUUGUGACUGCAAGACUAGAGUGCGGCAGAGGGGGGUAGAAUUCCACGUGUAGCAGUGAAAUGCGUAGAUAUGUGGAGGAAUACCGAUGGCGAAGGCAGCCCCCUGGGUCGACACUGACGCUCAUGCACGAAAGCUGGGGAGCAAACAGGAUUAGAUACCCUGGUAGUCCACGCCCUAAACGAUGUCAACUAGGUGUUGGGGGAGGAGACUUCCUUAGUACCGCAGCUAACGCGUGAAGUUGACCGCCUGGGGAGUACGGCCGCAAGGUG
rnacentral:rRNA from 1 species